UGGGGAAUAUUGCACAAUGGGGGGAACCCUGAUGCAGCGAUGCCGCGUGGAGGAAGAAGGUUUUCGGAUUGUAAACUCCUUUUAACAGGGACGAUAAUGACGGUACCUGAAGAAAAAGCUCCGGCUAACUACGUGCCAGCAGCCGCGGUAAUACGUAGGGAGCGAGCGUUGUCCGGAAUUACUGGGUGUAAAGGGAGCGUAGGCGGGACUGCAAGUCAGAUGUGAAAACUAUGGGCUCAACCUGUAGAUUGCAUUUGAAACUGUGGUUCUUGAGUGAAGUAGAGGUAAGCGGAAUUCCUAGUGUAGCGGUGAAAUGCGUAGAUAUUAGGAGGAACAUCGGUGGCGAAGGCGGCUUACUGGGCUUUUACUGACGCUGAGGCUCGAAAGCGUGGGGAGCAAACAGG
rnacentral:rRNA from 1 species